AGAGUUUGAUCCUGGCUCAGGAUGAACGCUGGCGAGAUGCUUUACACAUGCAAGUCGUACGAGAGUCUUUGACUCAAGUGGCGGACGGGUGAGUAACACGUAAGAAUUUGCCUUUAGGAGGGGGACAACAGUUGGAAACGGCUGCUAAUACCCCAUAUGCUUUCGAGUGAAAUGGAUUUUUCCGCCUAAAGAGAAGCUUGCGGCUGAUUAGCUUGUUGGUAAGGUAAUGGCUUACCAAGGCGACGAUCAGUAUCUGGUUUGAGAGGACGAUCAGACACACUGGAACUGAGACACGGUCCAGACUCCUGCGGGAGGCAGCAGUGGGGAAUUUUCCGCAAUGGGCGAAAGCCUGACGGAGCAAUCUCGCGUGAGGGAUGACUGCCUAUGGGUUGUAAACCUCUUUUUUCAGGGAGGAAUAAAUGACGUGUACCUGAAGAAUAAGCAUCGGCUAAUUCCGUGCCAGCAGCCGCGGUAAUACGGAGGAUGCAAGUGUUAUCCGGAAUCACUGGGCGUAAAGCGUCUGUAGGUGGUUUAGUAAGUCAACUGUUAAAUCUUGAAGCUCAACUUCAAAAUCGCAGUCGAAACUAUUAGAC
rnacentral:rRNA from 1 species